rnacentral:rRNA from 1 species
UGGGGAAUUUUGGACAAUGGGCGCAAGCCUGAUCCAGCCAUGCCGCGUGCGGGAAGAAGGCCUUCGGGUUGUAAACCGCUUUUGUCAGGGAAGAAAUCUUCUGAGUUAAUACCUCGGGAGGAUGACGGUACCUGAAGAAUAAGCACCGGCUAACUACGUGCCAGCAGCCGCGGUAAUACGUAGGGUGCAAGCGUUAAUCGGAAUUACUGGGCGUAAAGCGUGCGCAGGCGGUUUUGUAAGACAGAGGUGAAAUCCCCGGGCUCAACCUGGGAACUGCCUUUGUGACUGCAAGGCUUGAGUGCGGCAGAGGGGGAUGGAAUUCCGCGUGUAGCAGUGAAAUGCGUAGAUAUGCGGAGGAACACCGAUGGCGAAGGCAAUCCCCUGGGCCUGCACUGACGCUCAUGCACGAAAGCGUGGGGAGCAAAACAGGAUUAGAUACCCUGGUAGUCCACGCCCUAAACGAUGUCAACUGGUUGUUGGGAAGGUUCCUUCUCAGUAACGUAGCUAACGCGUGAAAGUUGACCGCCUGGGGAGUACGGCCGCAAGGUUGAAAACUCAAAGGAAUUGACGGGGUCAUAGCUGUUUCCUG